AGGCUAGGGCAAUGGUGAGCUUGCCAAGCGUGUCAGGUCCGGAAGGAAGCAGCACUAACAAGUGUCACCAUGUGCCUUUAUAAUUUA
rnacentral:SRP_RNA from 1 species